rnacentral:tRNA from 1 species
GGGGAUGUGGCUCAGUGGUAGAAUUUUUGCCUUGCAUGCAUGAAGCCCUGGGUUCAAUCCCCAGCACCA